GAUGAAGAACGUAGUAAAAUGCGAUAAGUAAUGUGAAUUGCAGAAUUCAGUGAAUCAUCGAAUCUUUGAACGCACAUUGCGCCCGCCAGUAUUCUGGCGGGCAUGCCUGUUCGAGCGUCAUUUCAACCCUCAAGCACAGCUUGGUGUUGGGACUCGCGUUAAUUCGCGUUCCUCAAAUUGAUUGGCGGUCACGUCGAGCUUCCAUAGCGUAGUAGUAAAACCCUCGUUACUGGUAAUCGUCGCGGCCACGCCGUUAAACCCCAACUUCUGAAUGUUGACCUCGGAUCAGGUAGGAAUACCCGCUGAACUUAAGCAUAUCAAUAGCGGAGGA
rnacentral:misc_RNA from 1 species